UCUGUGGGAUCAGUGGCGAACGGGUGAGUAACACGUGAGCAACCUGCCCCUGACUCUGGGAUAAGCGCUGGAAACGGCGUCUAAUACUGGAUAUGUGACGUGACCGCAUGGUCUGCGUUUGGAAAGAUUUUUCGGUUGGGGAUGGGCUCGCGGCCUAUCAGCUUGUUGGUGAGGUAAUGGCUCACCAAGGCGUCGACGGGUAGCCGGCCUGAGAGGGUGACCGGCCACACUGGGACUGAGACACGGCCCAGACUCCUACGGGAGGCAGCAGUGGGGAAUAUUGCACAAUGGGCGAAAGCCUGAUGCAGCAACGCCGCGUGAGGGAUGACGGCCUUCGGGUUGUAAACCUCUUUUAGCAGGGAAGAAGCGAAAGUGACGGUACCUGCAGAAAAAGCGCCGGCUAACUACGUGCCAGCAGCCGCGGUAAUACGUAGGGCGCAAGCGUUAUCCGGAAUUAUUGGGCGUAAAGAGCUCGUAGGCGGUUUGUCGCGUCUGCUGUGAAAUCCCGAGGCUCAACCUCGGGCCUGCAGUGGGUACGGGCAGACUAGAGUG
rnacentral:rRNA from 1 species